CCAUAACUAACUGUCUUUGCUGUAAAGCUGAAACUGAACCUUAGAACUGGUGUACAUGAAAUGAUGACUGUGUGUAGCAAUGGCUCACAUGAUCAGUGCUGUGUCUAUCCUCCAAGACCAUGAGAACACAGGGAAAGUACAAAGUACUGGUUGCAGAACUCAUCUUCCUACCACGAAAAAUCUCCCCUCAGCAUGAAAAGAACAGCCCGGUUAUUGCAGAAUGGUGGCCAUUUGUAUGUACUGAAAGCAAGGAGGAGCGUUUCCAUCAGCUAGCCCCUGGGGUGAAUCAGGAACUAGAUCCCAUGCUGCCUGGGCUCUGGAGCCUUGCCAUAAAGCCCACAAUGCCAUCUGGUCAUCCUCAGCUCCUAGCACCAGGGAGGCAUACAAUAGGAAGAUCCUGCUAGGCCACAGUGGACUGCCAGGAUGUUGAUAGCGGGACAUUCUAUUGUUUUUUGGGCCACAAGGAGGUCUGAGAAUCCAGAUGGGGAACUCAGCUUGGAUUGGGCAACCGAACAUCUAUUUUGUGGAUAGGUAGGAGGGGCAUGGUCUUUGCCCAGCUCUUGCUGGUUAUCGAUGGGUUUUUGGCUGUUUCACCCACCCACCCCCCCACCCACCCCAGUUGUUACAGAGUGAACUUCACCCCCUCCUCCUGUUGCACUUGGGGGAGAAUGAUUUGGUGGACAGAACAGGGAAGGCCGUGUCUCAACAGGCAGCCAGGGAUAUUGAGACCAUUAGGUCCUGGAUCCUGGGUGUGAGGGUGCUAUGGUCUGAUUUGUUACAGCAUAGGGUUUGGCGAGGGUCCUUGAAGCCUGGCCGGGUCACAAAGCCCAUAGGAAAGUUAAUCAAGCUCUGGGUGCUUUUGUUCGGGCAACAGGGGGCACAUUUAUAGCUCACCCGGCAUAUGUUUUUCCCAUCCAGAGUUGUUUCAGGGGGACAGUGUUCACUUCUUUAUAGGAGACUUGCAGGGAAGAUUGGCAGGGUUUGGGGAUGGUUGGUGGGCAGGGGAAGUGCCAAGCUAAGCUGACCCUCCCAGUGGCAGGAGCAGUGCAGUAAGCUGGGGCAGUACAUUUUCUGGUGAGCACCUUAAAGCAAAGGUUUGACAUCAGGAGGAGUCCUUGGCAGUCCUUAGAGGCCUCACGGCUUAAGGAGCACUGGCCCUGGAGUUACUCCUUCCUGCAGGGUUGCACCCUCUUUAAAGGUCCUUCACGGCUUGAAGGGGUGGGAUCUAGGCAGGCUGCUUUGACACAGGUUGGCUAUGGAAGCAGUCACUACAGGGAUGAUGCUGGCCGUGGAGCGCCAAUCCUCCUCGUGACAUUAUUUGAAUAAAGUUGUGGCCCACGUUUA